AGCUUUGCGCAGUGGCAGUAUCGUAGCCAAUGAGGUUUAUCCGAGGCGCGAUUAUUGCUAAUUGAAAAAAGGAACGGCGGAGGGCGGGCAUCUGGGCAGCUCAGUGGCCUAAGCGUCUGACCGUGGCUCAGGUCA
rnacentral:snRNA from 1 species